rnacentral:rRNA from 1 species
CCUACGGGUGGCAGCAGCGGGGAAUAUUGGACAAUGGGGGGAACCCUGAUCCAGCCAUGCCGCGUGUGUGAAGAAGGCCCUCGGGUUGUAAAGCACUUUCAGUGAGGAAGAACGCCUGGUGGUUAAUACCCAUCAGGAAAGACAUCACUCACAGAAGAAGCACCGGCUAACUCCGUGCCAGCAGCCGCGGUAAUACGGAGGGUGCGAGCGUUAAUCGGAAUUACUGGGCGUAAAGCGCGCGUAGGUGGCUUGAUAAGCCGGUUGUGAAAGCCCCGGGCUCAACCUGGGAACGGCAUCCGGAACUGUCAAGCUAGAGUGCAGGAGAGGAAGGUAGAAUUCCCGGUGUAGCGGUGAAAUGCGUAGAGAUCGGGAGGAAUACCAGUGGCGAAGGCGGCCUUCUGGACUGACACUGACACUGAGGUGCGAAAGCGUGGGUAGCAAACAGGAUUAGAUACCCUUGUAGUC